CCGGCAACAAGCAGGAGAAAACAAAGGGCUCAUAUACACAAAAGAGCCAUCAGGGAAUGAGAAAAGGGAGACACAGCAGGAUUAACUGGACACAACCAGACAAGGGGAAGCAAACUAGACACACUAACGUAGGACAUGGCACUGUCAAAAUAAAACAGGAAGUGAACACAGAGACACAAUACUAACACAGUACAGAGGGAACACAGAAACCAAAACCUCAGAACUAGAAAAUCUUAAUCAGAAUGAAAUUGUAACAAAAGACAAUAACAAUCAAAACAAAAGCACUGAGUCCACAGACUCGGGACAGACAUCGGCUCAAACUGUGCUCAUAAAUAUUUUGUAAAUCAGACUGUGUAGUUGUGAACUGAGUUUUGUAACAUUGUAAAACAAAAUAUCUGAAAAGUUUAUGUUUUUGCGUUCAUUGAUUUGUGUGUGUAAAAAUGUAAAAAGUGUAAUAAACAUUAGAACUACUUUUGCUGACACAAAGUUUGGCGAGCACUGCAAGUUGUCCCUUUAAACCAGUCACUGAUAUAAAGAGAGCACCUUGUUCCAGGGCAUCUGAGCAUGGAGGCAAAGCUUUAUGCAGGAGAUGGUAAGAGCUGUUGGGACUAAAGAAACUGAGCAGAAAACUACAGACAUCUGGAAACUGAGUUGUUAAUUCUCAGUGGGAUCACCAGGACUAGCAAAGCUUCACCAUGACAGUCAUCUGAUUGACUGAACCCAUCCAAACAUCACUUCAUGGACCUUUAGCUUGUGUCUGUGUGUGGACAGACAUAACAUGAGCUAAUUAUUCAUUACUCCUCCACAGAGUGGAGCAGGAGAGAGCAGAGGUUUCCACUGGUCAGUCUGCACAGCAACAUCAAACACACCUGGACUCUGUGGUUAUGCGGCUGGAGGACAACAUCACCAUGUUUGUGAAGAACGAGCUGAAGAAGAUCCAGAAGCUUCUGAGUCCAGAUCACCCAGAAACUUUAAAGAGCCAGAUGGAGGAUGAGGAGAUGUUUGAAGGUGAGGAUGAAGAUGAAAGAAAGAGCUGCAGAGAAGCAUUUCUGAAGAUCACACUCCACUUCUUGAGGAGACUUAAGCAGCAUGAGAUGGCUGACCAUCUGCAGAGCAAAAUAUUUCCUUCACUCUGUAAACGU